CAAAAACAUAGCCCCAAAAUAAAUUUGAGGUGUUACCUGCCCAGUGGUCGAUAAGUUCAAUUAUUUAACGAUAAAAAAUUCGACUCAACGGCCGCGGUAUCUUGACUGUGACAAUGUAGCAUAAUCAGUUGUCGUUUAAUUGGCGAAUAGUAUGAAUGGUGUCACGAAAGCUGCACUGUCUUAGGGGUAAGAUAAAAAAAUUAAGAUUAUAGUAAAGACGCUAUAAACGACUGUAAGACGAAAAGACCCUAUAAAGCUUAACUAUAAACCAUAUUCUUAGAGAAUAAAUUAAAAGCACAAUAUGGUUUGGUAGUUUUGUUGGGGCAACGGCAUUUUAAAAAGAAAGAAUGCAAGCAAUAUAGUUUAAUAAAAUUAUUUAUUGUUUAACUUAUGAGUUUAACAAUCAUAACAUGGGUUAUAAUGACCUGUCAGCCUAAAAAAAUAUAGCUGACAAUUAUUAAAUAAAAGCUACUUUAGGGAUAACAGGUUAAUUUCGUUCAAGAGAUGAUAUCAAAGACGAAGUUUGACACCUCGAUGUUGAAUUAGGAUAUCCUGAUGGUGCAGCAGCCAUCAAAGGUAGGUCUGUUCGACCUUUAAAAUCUUACAUGAUUUGAGUUCAUUCCGUA
rnacentral:rRNA from 1 species